rnacentral:rRNA from 1 species
AACGAACGCUGGCGGCAUGCCUAACACAUGCAAGUCGAACGAGACCUUCGGGUCUAGUGGCGCACGGGUGCGUAACGCGUGGGAACCUGCACUUAGGUUCGGAAUAACUCCCCGAAAGGGGUGCUAAUACCGGAUAAUGUCUUCGGACCAAAGAUUUAUCGCCUUUGGAUGGGCCCGCGUUGGAUUAGCUAGUUGGUAGGGUAAAAGCCUUCCAAGGCGACGAUCCAUAGCUGGUCUGAGAGGAUGAUCAGCCACACUGGGACUGGGACACGGCCCAGACUCCUACGGGAGGCAGCAGUUGUGAAUAUUGGACGCUGGGCGAAAGCCUGAGCCAGCAAUGCCGCGUAGGUGAUGAAUGCCGGAGGAUUGUAAAGCUCUCUUACCCGGGAUGAUAAUGACGGUACCGGGAGAAUAAGCCCCGGCUAACUCCGUG